rnacentral:rRNA from 1 species
AUUGAACGCUGGCGGCAUGCCUUACACAUGCAAGUCGAACGGCAGCAUGAUCUAGCUUGCUAGAUUGAUGGCGAGUGGCGAACGGGUGAGUAAUACAUCGGAACGUGCCCUGUAGUGGGGGAUAACUAGUCGAAAGAUUAGCUAAUACCGCAUACGACCUGAGGGUGAAAGUGGGGGACCGCAAGGCCUCAUGCUAUAGGAGCGGCCGAUGUCUGAUUAGCUAGUUGGUGAGGUAAAGGCUCACCAAGGCGACGAUCAGUAGCUGGUCUGAGAGGACGAUCAGCCACACUGGGACUGAGACACGGCACAGACUCCUACGGGAGGCAGCAGUGGGGAAUUUUGGACAAUGGGCGAAAGCCUGAUCCAGCAAUGCCGCGUGUGUGAAGAAGGCCUUCGGGUUGUAAAGCACUUUUGUCCGGAAAGAAAUGGAUCUGGUUAAUACCUGGGGUCGAUGACGGUACCGGAAGAAUAAGGACCGGCUAACUACGUG